rnacentral:rRNA from 1 species
UCUUUAGGAACUGGGGCGGCUAUAAUGCAGUCGAGCGAAGAGAUGGGAGCUUGCUCCCAGAUCUUAGCGGCGGACGGGUGAGUAACACGUGGGCAACCUGCCCUGCAGACUGGGAUAACUCCGGGAAACCGGAGCUAAUACCGGGUAAUACAUCGCACCGCAUGGUGCAAUGUUGAAAGUUGGCUUUCUGAGCUAACACUGCAGGAUGGGCCCGCGGCGCAUUAGCUAGUUGGUAAGGUAAUGGCUUACCAAGGCAACGAUGCGUAGCCGACCUGAGAGGGUGAUCGGCCACACUGGGACUGAGACACGGCCCAGACUCCUACGGGAGGCAGCAGUAGGGAAUCUUCCGCAAUGGACGAAAGUCUGACGGAGCAACGCCGCGUGAGUGACGAAGGCCUUCGGGUCGUAAAGCUCUGUUGUUAGGGAAGAACAAGUACCGUUCGAAUAGGGCGGUACCUUGACGGUACCUAACCAGAAAGCCACGGCUAACUACGUGCCAGCAGCCGCGGUAAUACGUAGGUGGCAAGCGUUGUCCGGAAUUAUUGGGCGUAAAGCGCGCGCAGGCGGUCUUUUAAGUCUGAUGUGAAAGCCCACGGCUCAACCGUGGAGGGUCAUUGGAAACUGGAGGACUUGAGUGCAGAAGAGGAGAGUGGAAUUCCACGUGUAGCGGUGAAAUGCGUAGAUAUGUGGAGGAACACCAGUGGCGAAGGCGGCUCUCUGGUCUGUAACUGACGCUGAGGCGCGAAAGCGUGGGGGAGCAAACAGGAUUAGAUACCCUGGUAGUCCACGCCGUAAACGAUGAGUGCUAGGUGUUGGGGGGUUCCACCCUCAGUGCUGAAGUUAACACAUUAAGCACUCCGCCUGGGGAGUACGACCGCAAGGUUGAACUCAAAGGAUUUGACGGGGGCCCGCACAAGCAGUGGAGCAUGUGGUUUAAUUCAAGCAACGCGAAGAACCCUUACCAGGUCUUGACAUCCUCUGACAAUCCUGGAGACAGGACGUUUCCCCUUCCG